AAGCAGAAAGAUGUUGUCUGCCGCGGCUGGGUCUCGAACCCGCGACCUUCGAAUUACUAGAUCGACGCUCCACCUACUGAGCUACACGAUCAGACGGAUUUAAGACUGGAAAUUAUGAAAUAUAUACUGAAUGUCAUAAACAUACUCGUUUAUAUUAAUUCAGCAUCGAACGAGUAGGUAGAGCGUCGAUCUAGUAAUUCGAAGGUCGCGGGUUCGAGACCCAGCCGCGGCAGACAACAUCUUUCUGCUUGCGCUGGGUAUGGAAAUUAUAUAAUACACACUCUAGAACAUUUUCAUCUUAAUAUAUAUAUAUAUA